rnacentral:rRNA from 1 species
GACUACGGCCAUGCCACCCUGAACACGCCUGAUCUCAUCUGAUCUUGGAAGUUAAGCAGAGUACUUGGAUGGGAGACCACCUAGGAAUACCAGGUGCUGUAGACG